rnacentral:rRNA from 1 species
GAGCCACGCCGCGUGAGUGAAGAAGGUUUUCGGUUCGUAAAGCUCUUUUGUUAGUGAAGUAUGAUGGUGGGAGUGGAAAAUCCACCAAGUGACGGUAACUAACCAGAAAGGGGCGGCUAACUACGUGCCAGCAGCCGCGGUAAUACGUAGGUCCCGAGCGUUGUUCGGAUUUAUUGGGCGUAAAGCGAGCGCUGGCGGUUUUUUAAGUCUGAAGUUUAAAGCACUGGCUCAACCAAUGUACGCUUUGGAAACUUGAGAA